GAUCAUCUGGGACCUUCUGUACCACCAGUGUGGCUUCCCUGGAUUUAGGAUGCCUCCUGCGGUGGGAUUGUCCUCAGGCCAACGCUAACACCACCACCUACACCGUCCAAACUAAGACUCAGGGAGAUCCGUGGCAGGACGUGGAGGGGUGUGUGCGGAUCUCCGCCCAGCACUGUGACGUGUCCCAGGCCUUCUCUGACUUUGAACUCUACAACAUGAUCCGCCUGGGCCUCCACCAGGGCCCUGGGAGCCCAGUCUGGACAAAACCACGCAAGUUUGACCCAAGUGAUUUCAGUCAGUAACCUACCUCUCUGCUCUCAAGACCAAUCACAUAUCUAAAAUGCUGGUUUGUUGUUCCAAUCAAAUCAAAUGUCACGUAGAGAGCAUUUAAAAAUCUCAUUACACUGCAGAAUUCAAAUGGAUGUGGCUAAAGCUGCUGACAUGAGUAGGUUGGUGUGAUUGAAAUGACAAAGUGGCUUCUUCCCUUCCCCUCUCCUCUCCUCUCCUCAGCCUUCAACAGCCCCUCCAUCUCUGUGUCUCUGUCUAGAGAGAGGCUGGUAGUGGAGGUGCACUUCCCCUGUUCUACCAACAGAGGGUGCUUUCCUCUGCAGAGCUGCUGUCCACUGUCAGAACUGAUUGACCCCUGGGUCACAGUGACCGUAUAUAACCAACAUAACCACUCUGACUACAAGAGGCGUACUGGUUGGGCCCAGGAGGUGGUGUUCAGGGCUGAGUUCUCAGACCUGGUCCCAGGACAGGACUACUGUGCCUUGGCUAACUUCUCCUUUGGACCCCCCACCUUCCCCCUGGCCUCCUCUCCCCCCUCCCAUCCACACUGUGUCCACCAGGCUGCCCCAGGACCAGGUGAGAGGUCAUGGUUAGGGUUGAUCCAAGGUGUGGACAUUAAGCUAGGGUUAGGGUUGAUCCAGGUUGUGGAUAUUAAGCUAGGGUUAGGGUUGAUCCAGGGUGUGGACAUUAAGCUAGGGUUAGGGUUGAUCCAGGGUGUGGACAUUAAGCUAGGGUUAGGGUUGAUCCAGGGUGUGGACAUUAAGCUAGGGUUAGGGUUGAUCCAAGGUGUGGACAUUAAGCUAGGGUUAGGGUUGAUUCAAGGUGUGGACAUUAAGCUAGGGUUAGGGUUGAUUCAAGGUGUGGACAUUAAGCUGGGGUUAGGGUUGAUUCAAGGUGUGGACAUUAAGCUAGGGUUAGGGUUGAUUCAAGGUGUGGACAUUAAGCUAGGGUUAGGGUUGAUCCAGGGUGUGGACAUUAAGCUAGGGUUAGGGUUGAUCCAGGAUGUGGACAUUAAGCUAGGGUUGAUCCAAGGUGUGGACGUUAAGCUAGGGUUAGGGUUGAUCCAGGGUGUGGAUGUUAAGCUAGGGUUAGGGUUGAUCCAGGUUGUGGACGUUAAGCUAGGGUUUGAGCUAAUGUAUACAACUGUGAUUUCACAAUUAAAUGUGUGUCUGUGUUCACCAGGGUUGCAGCCAGUGUUGUUGGGGAUAGGAGUGUGUGCUGUGCUCUUCUCUGCUCUCCUUGCUCUGGCUCUGUAUCGGCUGAAACAGAAACGAGAUGCACCUCGCAUUAACAGACUCCCCAAGACUCUAGCAACUCUCCAGGCAUCCCUCCAGCACCCCCCAGAGUCCUCUUCAGACCCUGUUGACCCCAGUGACAUCCAUGUGGAGGUUGUGGACGACCACCUCUCCAUCAUGUCUUCCUUGUCCGGCUGUGUCUUCACCAACGCCCAGGCCCCAAGCUUGGGUGACGGGUACAGCAGCAAACCCUUCCCCGGUGACUACAGGUCAGGCAACAUGGACUGGCACACAGGGGGAGACACUGAGCUGGGCCUGAACUCUGGCAGCACCCUGUCCCUGCCAUGCUCCACUGUGCCUAUAGGGCUACAUAUGACCCAGUGCAACUUCGAUUCACCUCUACGACCACAUCCAGGGCCCACGGUGCCAACACUACCCUACCUUGAUUCUCUUUCUCUGUCAGAGGCUGGGGAGGGCCAGGGGGUCCCGCUGUGCUCAGUGAGGUUUGGGGGGGGCGAGUGAAGGGGGUGAGAACCUGGAGGGACUACAGUGGUGUAACCGGUAGCAUGUUGAACUGCAGUACCCAUAAUGCUAUGUACAACAUAUUCUGAUGAACUCCACAGUGCAGUUGAUUUUGGAGGAGAUGAGAUGGGACAGAACUGGACCAAUGAAGAGUAAUGGUGGUCCUAUGUAGCUCUGCUGUUAAAAAGCAAUGGCACUAUCAAACGGCAGGGUUGUGGAUUAGAUUCUCACCAGAAUCACAUACUAAAAAUGUAUGCACUCACUGUAGUGUAGGUCGCUAUGGAUACAAGUUGAACGUCUGCUGAGUGUCAUUGGGAACCUGGUUCUGUCGUAUAUAGCUGUCGAAGGAGACAUGGCUGGGAACUGAAGCGCCAAGCUCAGUUUGAACAACAACACUGACAACCACAGCUUUGUUUUACGCCGUUUGUUUAGUAGGGUUCACAAUAUGGAGCACUUCUGUCAUCCGCAGAGGGCCCCUGUUGGAGCGAGCAGAGCCUCUGAUUCACAGGUACAGCUGGGUGUUUGGGAGGGUUUGCUUGAGGGGUGCUGAGAGUAGUGUGUCAAGUUCAAAAACGUUAUUGUCCAUGUUUGUUUAAAAUGGGAAUUUAUCUUUGGCUUACGGGCAUACAUUUUCAGUUACAGCCGGCAGGGGGGGGGGGGGGGGGGGGGGUUCUUUCAGAGGACUAUGGAGAGCAAUAUUUGUUUCAUGCGAUCCCCUCCCCCCACCCUUCACUGGACUGUGAUAUGGAUAAUGGCGAUUUUAGCAUGUACAUUUUGGUGUGGCCCAAAAAAAUGUGGGCAGCAAAGCCACAACACAACACUAAACAAUACCGUAAUUGCACUAUAAUGGUGACAAACGGUGCCCACAAACUGUUAGGGCCGACAUCAACCUGUCCCAACAUCAGUCACAACAGCAUCUUACCACUGCUACACCUGGCUAUCAGUAGAGCCUUGUCUGGCAGAGAAACAGUUCAUUCAGCCUCAUUUACUGCCUUUAAAAGAAAACAUAGCUGAUAUGGCUGAAUUGAAAUGUAUGACCUAUGGCAUAAGGGAACAACAAGAGGAUAAGAGGCAAUCUGUAAUUUUGAUUAAGACAUUAAUGAGCAAGCUAGGACAGACAUAGUCAAUGCAACUAUUUGUUCAGCACUUUUGAAAUGUACAGCAACAUAAUUCAGAACAUGAGCCAUUCUUAGUGUUCUUCCUGUACACCAAGUCAGAACCAUAGGAUAAAUAAAGGGGGCAUGUAAGUAUACAAUGAAAGCUCUUACAAUAUUCAAUGAUUACAUUUCUCAAAAACAGGUUAUAAGCUACAUGUGCACCACCCAAAAAAUGUAAAGGUGAAAAUAGACCAAAUUAUUAGGGUGAGGCACAUGGGCUACUAACCGCUUACUACACAACAUGCACUUAGUAUUACUUUCUUAGCUACAGUAUACAAAUCUCCCUGGCAUAUUACAUAAUUUAUGUAGCAGCAUACAAUACAUUUUUGGACUCCCCUUGUUGUGCUGUGUUCACUUGAACAGGAAGGUGGUCCUCGUUUUUCCCCGAGGUCCCAGUUGUCUUGAAUUUGCAGUUCCGAGUUAAGUUGUUUUGAGUGCGACACAAAUCAUGCUUCAUUGACAGCAUGGCCAAUGUUGAAUGUUUAUCAUUUUAAACUAGGAAAAGACACCCUUAAUCUUGGACUUGGGACCACACAGCCACUCCACUGAAUAGCAGGCUAAUGAUUGCUUUGCAAUGCUUGCAGUUAGCCACUGAUUCCUUCUAAACCACUCAUUGUUGAAUUUGCAGUUUCCAACUUGUUGUGUAAUGUUUGUCCAAUGGCCGAUGAGCACCAAUACAUUUUAUCUAUAAUUUAUCUUCAUUAUUUCUCUUCAUAUGACAAGGAUUAAAAAGGAUUUGCCAGUAGAUUGUCAACUUCAUUCAUGAUGAUGUCUGCUAGCUAAGAUUUUGAAAGUAUGAUGUUGACAUGAUCAGUCCAAGCAAAGCUACUGUAGAUAUGUGAUUUGAUGUCAUUUCUGUGGCCAAUGACCUUGAGCCUUCUUGGAUGGGCACUUCUAAUGUAACUCUAUGGCAGCACCCAAGGGGCUUGAGUAUUUUCUGCUGGCAGCCCCACCACCACAGAAAGCACUGAGCUAGGCUGAAACACCUGCAUUUUGGAGCUGCCUUACUCAAGAAAACAAAAAGAGACCAUGUUUGAAUGCGGCUUUAUUAACUCAAUUAUAUAUUAUUUUUUACAGUGUUUUCAAACUGACAUGUGACAUGUGCAUGUUAUUUUGGCAUUAAUACAUUUUUUUUUGCUAAAAAUGUGGGGCUCAAAACAGGUGGGGUCUCCACUACGUAUGGACAAAACUGGACUAUCAUAAACAUAUACCAAGGGGGGUUUAUUAUUCUGACCACACCUUUAUUUCCUCUACCUACUGUACUGUGUGAAGUCUUGUCAGGAGAAUUCUAUACUCCUGUUCAUUUACCAAUUCAAUUAAGUUACCCUUAGUCUGUUAUAUCAGGAUUUGUAAGAUACUGAUAGAAAAGGAAACGGAGAGAGGCCCAGUCUACCAAAGUUAAAUGUUUAUUCACGGGAACGUUCUGACGUGUACAGUACAGGACCUUCAAUUUAUAGCGACACACAUACUUCCACACCCACCAUCAAAUCCGCCCGCCAUUAGAGCCUAGGGGAGAACGAAAGAAUAGUGUCUUCCUACCCUCCCCUAAGAUAGGGAGAGACCUGGGACUGGGAAGUGUCCCAGCCAAGGUCUCCUCGGAUCUGGCACAGACAGAUAGUCUGUUCUCAAAACACUAGACACAUUGUUCCCAAAAUGUUGAUUCUGACUAAAACCACACACCGUAUUAUAAUAUAAUCAUUGAAUGAGUCUAACACUUACACACAUAUUAUAACAAUCUAUUGAUUCAAAUUCAUUUCAUACAAUCACAUGGUAUCAGACCUAUGGUUUCAGGACUGUAACAUUCUAAUCAUUUAUUAAAACACAUUUCCUUAUCAAGCCUCUACCUCCGUGUUUCUCCUGUUUUCUCUAUGUGAUAACAGGAGUUCGUUUCCCCCCCCUCUCUGGCUCUCUCUCUGCCUUGCUUCUGACUCACUGUUGCCCCAUCCUACCUCUGGCCUGACCCGCUGUCUUUUACCCGUGUCUGACACCUCAUUCCUGGGGGGGAGGUGGGGGGGGGGUUACACAUCACUUUUGCUGGUGGUGCACUUUUUCUGGUACAUUAGGAAACCCAGGGGGGUGGGAGAAAGAGUGAGAGGAGACGGAGGAGAGGCAUGAAAACAGUGGCCCCAUUCAAAUCCUCCUCAGUUCUGGAACACUCAUAUUCAUAGAACUGUGUCGGGGAUUUUGAUUGAUGUUAGGUUAAUGUUGGACCGUCAGUGAAUCCAAACUAAGCAGUGUGUGUCUGCCUGCCAAUCACAUAGCUGUAACGUUAUUCCACAGGCGUCCAACUGAGAAUUCACAUCUAACCUUGAACUGAGGUUUUUGGAUGAGCUUUUUAUGGGUCCUGCUAUAUUUGCAGUCAAUUGAGUAGAAACUUGAUCCAAGAUGGACGCCUUGUAGCUCGGCUCCCCACUGGUGUAUGCUGGCUUGCUCUGCCACUGAGGUGAAGUUGGAUUAGUGAUUUAUGUGGUGUUCAACAUGGUGACCUUUCUCGAAAAGGUCUAAUUUAUGUGUCAGCUGAAGCCGUCUCUGCUAGAGUAUCUGAAAUGAAAUACAUUUUGCAUUUUUACUUUCCAUUCAGUGCAUACCGGUCUUUGAAUGUCAAGUUUGCUCAUAUGUAAAUGUAAAUUAACCAAAGAGGAGAGGGGGGAAAAAGAGACAAAUGCAUAUGCGAGAGUACAGCGGAGCUUGAAGAAAAAAACACAACUCACAAGCCUCAUAAAAACAGCUUGAAAUGAGGUAACAUUCAGUGCAGAUGAGGGCACGUUUCAGAUCGGCUUAUGAAACUGUUUGCACAGUGCUAGAUAAGUGUAAUUGAUGGAUUCCUUUUCUGUAUAAUUCACUUUCUAACACCAUGAGUUAGUGUAAAAUUAGAUAAGAAAUAUUUCAGAGUAAUUUGAAGUUCUUUUGUGUGUGAUACAGUAUUUUAACAAACUUGUUACAUAUUUAUCUUGCUUUCUGUUUUUGUUUUCCUAACCGGUUGAAUAAUGAAAGAAGUGGGUACUGCUGUUCAUUUCUGCAUAAAUAAAAAGCAACUUAAAGGUUACAAUAACAACUGUGAGGGUCAAGUCAAAGUCCUGGUACCUUCAAAAAAUACAGAAGUGUAAAUGCAAUGUGUAGUAGUGUCCUUUCUUGUACUUCAAACAAAAAAUAUCAAAAAUAAUAAUAAUAAUAAUCUCAACUAAAAAGCAAUUUACAAAUGUUACAGUUGCACCUAUGAUCGGCUUUACUAUUUCGUUCAAACCAGUUGACGUUGUGUUCCUCGUGUUUGAGCUGACACACGGACCCAGUUUACAUCCCAAGUGGCGGUGUUGUCAUUUUAUAGUGCACAACCUUUGACCAGGAAGUAUACACCCUAUAAAGGGAACAAGGUACAAUUUGAGACAUAGCUCAAGUGACAGAAGCACACAGGCAUGACCACACCGACCAAUUCAGAUGACGAGCGGUUAAAGUUACGACUCUAUAGUGUGAGAAUGAAAUCAAACACGUGUACCCUUUAAUUCAUAAAGCAAGUUGCAUGCUCUACUUACUUACAAAAUGUGAUCUUAUGUCCACAAUAGAUGUCUAUAUGAUACAUACAAU
ensembl:lncRNA